UUUAAUAUGGCAGAAUAGUGCAAUGGAUUUAAACCCCAUAUAUAAAAUUAAAAUUUUUAUUAAAA
rnacentral:tRNA from 3 species